UGUGCGCAUGCCUGGUGGAUCGCCAACUGUCGUAGAUGUUGGAACUAUUGCUACCGUGCAUUGAGUUGGUAAAGCGCUGAAAGAAAAGUUAUGUUGCUUGGUAUCGUUCCAAGGAUCGUCGAUGUUAUAGAAAUCAUCCACGCCAUAGUUGUCAGCACCACCCAUGUGGUUAACCUUUAGCUCGUUUAGCAUAUCAUUGGUCAGAGGAAUGGGGGUCUUCUUGGCCCUCUUCUGUCGAUUGAGCAACUGAAAAAAGGAAUGUUAUUAACCAAGAAUCAAAAUGUUCAAAUGAUCUUCCAACUUACCACUGUGACACCAAAGAUGACGACAAACACCAGGGAACCUACUCCAAUCACUAUGACGACAAUGGCCCAUUGGGGAAUGAGCAGAUCCUCCUCUGCAAACUCCACAUUGGUAUGAGCAUUCUUGGCUAUGACUGCACGACAAAAUAUAAAUAGAUAAAGUUCCAAGUGAAAUAGAAAAGGUCUUCUAAACUAA